rnacentral:rRNA from 1 species
GACGAACGCUGGCGGCGUGCUUAACACAUGCAAGUCGAACGGUGACCUCGGAGCUUGCUCCGGGUGAUCAGUGGCGAACGGGUGAGUAACACGUGAGUAACCUGCCCCAGACUCUGGGAUAACCCCGGGAAACCGGAGCUAAUACCGGAUACGACGCGAAGAGGCAUCUCUAUCGUGUGGAAAGUUUUUCGGUCUGGGAUGGACUCGCGGCCUAUCAGCUAGUUGGUGAGGUAACGGCUCACCAAGGCGACGACGGGUAGCCGGCCUGAGAGGGCGACCGGCCACACUGGGACUGAGACACGGCCCAGACUCCUACGGGAGGCAGCAGUGGGGAAUAUUGCACAAUGGGCGAAAGCCUGAUGCAGCGACGCCGCGUGGGGGAUGACGGCCUUCGGGUUGUAAACCCCUUUCAGCAGGGAAGAAGCGAAAGUGACGGUACCUGCAGAAGAAGCACCGGCUAACUACGUGCCAGCAGCCGCGGUAAUACGUAGGGUGCGAGCGUUGUCCGGAAUUAUUGGGCGUAAAGAGCUUGUAGGCGGUCUGUCGCGUCUGCUGUGAAAAUCCGGGGCUCAACCCCGGACUUGCAGUGGGUACGGACAGACUAGAGUGUGGUAGGGGAGACUGGAAUUCCUGGUGUAGCGGUGAAAUGCGCAGAUAUCAGGAGGAACACCGAUGGCGAAGGCAGGUCUCUGGGCCACUACUGACGCUGAGAAGCGAAAGCAUGGGG